UACGUAGGGGGCAAGCGUUGUCCGGAUUUAUUGGGCGUAAAGCGCGCGUAGGCGGCGCGGUAUGUCGUGCGUGAAAUCUCCCGGCUUAACUGGGAGGGGCCGUGCGAAACUGCCGGGCUUGAGGUCGGAAGGGGAAAGUGGAAUUCCGGGGUGUAGUGGUGGAAUACGUAGAUAUCCGGAGGAACACCAGCGGCGAAGGCGGCUUUCUGGUCCGAUACUGACGCUGAGGUGCGAAAGCGUGGGGAGCGAUCCGG
rnacentral:rRNA from 1 species